AACGAACGCUGGCGGCAUGCCUAACACAUGCAAGUCGAACGAGACCUUCGGGUCUAGUGGCGCACGGGUGCGUAACGCGUGGGAACCUGCCCUUGGGUUCGGAAUAACUCCCCGAAAGGGGUGCUAAUACCGGAUAAUGUCUUCCGACCAAAGAUUUAUCGCCUUUGGAUGGGCCCGCGUUGGAUUAGCUAGUUGGUAGGGUAAAAGCAUACCAAGGCGACGAUCCAUAGCUGGUCUGAGAGGCUGAUCAGCCACACUGGGACUGAGACACGGCCCAGACUCCUACGGGAGGCAGCAGUGGGGAAUACUGGACAGUGGGCGAAAGCCUGAUCCAGCAAUGCCGGGUGAGUGAUGAAGGCCUUAGGGUUGUAAAGCUCUUUUACCCGGGAUGAUAAUGACGGUACCGGGAGAAUAAGCUCCGGCUAACUUCGUG
rnacentral:rRNA from 1 species